UAUCCUACGGGCGGCAGCAGUGGGGAAUUUUGGACAAUGGGGGCAACCCUGAUCCAGCCAUUCCGCGUGAGUGAAGAAGGCCUUCGGGUUGUAAAGCUCUUUCGGCAGGAACGAAACGGUGGUUACUAAUACUAGCUGCUAAUGACGGUACCUGAAGAAGAAGCACCGGCUAACUACGUGCCAGCAGCCGCGGUAAUACGCAGGGUGCGAGCGUUAAUCGGAAUUACUGGGCGUAAAGCGUGCGCAGGCGGUUUUGUAAGACAGAUGUGAAAUCCCCGGGCUUAACCUGGGAAGUGCGUUUGUGACUGCAAGACUCGAGUGCGGCAGAGGGGGGUGGAAUUCCGCGUGUAGCAGUGAAAUGCGUAGAUAUGCGGAGGAACACCGAUGGCGAAGGCAGCCCCCUGGGUCGACACUGACGCUCAUGCACGAAAGCGUGGGGAGCAAACAGGAUUAGAUACCCGAGUAGUC
rnacentral:rRNA from 1 species